rnacentral:rRNA from 1 species
GAUGAACGCUGGCGGCGUGCCUAAUACAUGCAAGUCGAGCGAACGGACGAGAAGCUUGCUUCUCUGAUGUUAGCGGCGGACGGGUGAGUAACACGUGGAUAACCUACCUAUAAGACUGGGAUAACUUCGGGAAACCGGAGCUAAUACCGGGUGAUAUUUUGAACCGCAUGGUUCAAAAGUGAAAGACGGUCUUGCUGUCACUUAUAGAUGGAUCCGCGCUGCAUUAGCUAGUUGGUAAGGUAACGGCUUACCAAGGCAACGAUGCAUAGCCGACCUGAGAGGGUGAUCGGCCACACUGGAACUGAGACACGGUCCAGACUCCUACGGGAGGCAGCAGUAGGGAAUCUUCCGCAAUGGGCGAAAGCCUGACGGAGCAACGCCGCGUGAGUGAUGAAGGUCUUCGGAUCGUAAAACUCUGUUAUUAGGGAAGAACAUAUGUGUAAGUAACUGUGCACAUCUUGACGGUACCUAAUCAGAAAGCCACGGCUAACUACGUG